ACUUGAGGCAUCACUUAACCUUGGUUUGCAUACACCACAAGUUACCUUUGAACCAGACCAGACUUAUCCUACGAUGUGAAUCUUCAACACUCGUCUUCCUGCAUUGGUUCUCCCUGAUCUAGAGCCUUAUAUUUAUAUAUUGCCAUUAUCUGUGCAGCAGCCUUCCUCUCUGCUAUAUUUUCUAUCAGGCUUUGCACAGACCUAACUACUAAGGGUAUAAGACACGGCAGGAGUAGACACAACAUUAAAAUCAGUAGGACUCCA